ACUGCAUCUCUCCUAGACCCCAUUUAAGGGCUGACUGCCACGGGGAAGGGUCUCUUUUGGGAUAUCCCUCCUUUUGGAGUUGUCUACUACAAGCCUAGGAUGUGGCAUUGCCAGACAAGUGGCUUGGACAUCCUCUUUUCAUUCUCCAGAAUUAUACUUCUACAUUUUUUCUGGUGCCACGCUGCAUUUCUGGAACUUGGCAGAAUAUGAAGAGGAUCAAGGCCAAGGUUAAAACCGGAGGUUGCACUAUAUUUACAUUUUGCUCAAUACCAGCACUUAAGAACAGAGGCCAGGCAUUUAAAAAUAGGCUGAAGGGGAUGAAGAGAUUUAGAGGGGAAUGCCUGGCUGUCUCAGAAAAUAUCAGAUAAAAGACUCCAUACAAGACAAAUGGUGGAAGGACAUCAAACAAGACUGUGUCCAUGCAGUGACAGAAGCAAUCCAAUUGAAGAAGCUGUUGAUUUCCCCAAGGCAACUUACUAUUUCUUCUUCAGUAAUUUAAACUAAGAAACUAAAGACUGUAUAUUCAUCUUCUAUUUACACUUUUCUCUAAAAAUACUGCUUCUAGUUGUCAAAUAAGAGAUUUACUUAAAGCAUUAACUGGAAAGGAAAUACCACAAUUGGAACUUGUUAUAUUUUUGCAUCUGUGUUUUAUUUAGUCUCAGUAUCACUAUGUCUAAAGGUUAUAGACUGAGAGUAACAAUCAAUUCUGAUCACAUAAAAAGAUUAGUCAGCGAAUCAAUUACAUACAUGGUAACAGGAAGCACCGUGCACUCAAGACAAGAAUGAAUACAAAGAGUACAGAUAAACAUCGUCACCUUUAUUUAGAUGAAAGCUGAUUCUAAAGCACUUCCAGUAUCUCUUUAAUAAUGCACAAACCUUUUGGAGUCUUAGUUUGCUAUACAAGCGUAAUGUAGAUCUUGAAGAAGUUUCAAGAUGUGACCUGUUUGCACAUAAAGUAACUUCGUACAAAAAAUGUCAUGACUGGAGUUUGCUGACAGCUGCACAAGCUGUGUCAUGGAAAGAAUACUAACUGCUUGUAUAACUUUAAAAAAAAAAAGUCUACAUUAGUAUUUGAGUCUUCCUUUCACUCCCACGUACUGUGCCUUACUCAUUCACAAUAUGGAAUAUGUUUGUUUCACAAAAACCAGCUUGGUUCCUAACAAAUUACGGAUAUCCUGUAAGCAAGAACACGUUACGAACUGCAGCUGGGAAUGGCAUUCAACCAGCAGGAUUGGUCUGCAACUUUUCCUGGGCAGAAGUGCCUGAAAUGCACUAUAAUACUUACUGGUUUGCUACAUGGAUCCCCUUUUAUUUGUACAUCAUAAUUGCUAAAAGAAACAAAGACUUUUUUUUGCAGUAGAAGUACAGAUGAGGGUUAGUAUUUAGUUUACUGUCAUUUCUUAAAGGUAUAUAUUAGCAUUUUGCAGAUAAACUGAGUUGUUUUAUGGGUGUUAAGAGAAUAAACAUAUAUAUAAAACAGGUGUACAUAAAAGCAUAUAAAAAACAAAUUACUACACAGCUAAUAUAGGGUUUCCUUGUAUCCUAUUUUUCAAAACUUACUAUGCUUGCUUUCUGCUUAGAAUCAGUUCUAGUUGCCAUCCACUUGUUUUCUCCUUUUCCCUGAUGUGUCUUGGCAUGUAGCCCUGGCAGCUCAUUAUUUAGACAGGUAUGCUCUUCACCAGGUGAAAAACUGACUUGAUGGCUGGGCCCAAAGGGCAGUGGUGAGUGGAGUUAAAUCCUUUUAGUGAUCAGUUAUUAGUGAUGUUCCUCAGGGGUCAGUAGUGUGCCCAGAUGGCCAAAAAGGCCAAUGGAAUU